CCAACAUUUAUCUGGUGCUAACAUAAAGGAAAUAUACAUAAUUAUAUCCACGCAUAUAAAUCUAACGUAUAUUCCACAUGGAAUUGCAAAUCUUGAUAGGAAAAAACUGAGAAUUGCAAAUCUUGAUAAUAAUAAUAAUAAUAAUAAGACUAAGAAUUGCACACACAAAAUCAAAAAACUUAUAAGGCCAAAAGGGAAUUCCGCAAGGGUGAUACCCAGCUCCGAUGGGAAACGGAGAGAGAUGUGAAUUCUGGGUUUCCUUUAGGGUCUGGAUUUCAACGAAACAACUCAACCAAAACAGGUAACAAAAUAGAAAAAUCAACAACCAAAAACCCUUCCCUUUUUUUCCUGUCAAGCAAUUAACCAAAACAAGGCAGAGAACAACUCACCUAGAAACUAACACAGCCGGGCUCUCAGAGGAAAUACGGAGUUUCGAAGC